GUCCCGGCUGUAAACUAUGUUCACUAGGUGUGGGAGGUAUCAACCCCUUCCGCGCCGACGCUAACGCAUUAAGUGAACCGCCUGGGGAGUACGGCCGCAAGGUUGAAACUCAAAGGAAUUGACGGGGGCCCGCACAAGCGGUGGAUCAUGUGGUUUAAUUCGACGCAACGCGAAGAACCUUACCUGGGCUUGAACUACUGGUAGUAGAACCUUGGAAACAGGGGACGAACCGUAAAGCCGGUUGCCAGCAGAGGUGCUGCAUGGCUGUCGU
rnacentral:rRNA from 1 species